UGUUAAUUAACCACAGAAAACCAAACAAAUGUGAGAAUGUCCGGUUUACACAUCCUUUUCUCAGCUCAGAAUAAAACCGUGUUUGUCCGUCACUUCAGUGUGUUGAAGGAUGAGGAUGAAGAUCUGCAGCUGCCUGUUAGUCUUUGUUCUGGGCUGCAAUCUCAGCACAGAAAGCAGAUAAGUCACUUCACAUCAGCAGAGCUGCCGUCUCAGACGCUGGAACAUACUUCUGUAAUAAUGAAGCAGCUGUGGAGCUGACGGUGCUCACAGUUCCUAAGGCACCAACACGACCUUCACUUCCAACAGCAAGACAAACCACAUCUGAACCUCUUCCAGCAACAACAACUGCACCAUCCACACCUCUAGUAAACACAGGAACAUCUACAGUUUCCACCACUCAGCCAGCGAUGUGCGAUCAACCUUCGGAGUGUGCUCUUUACCUGUGGUCGUCUGUUCAUAUUGCACUUGGAAUACUCUGUUUAAUCAUCAUACUCAGCAUCACUGUC